rnacentral:rRNA from 1 species
CACCGGCGUAACUACCGUGCCAGCAGCCGCGGUAAGUACGGAGGGUGCGAGCGUUAAUCGGAAGUUACUGGGCGUAAAGACGCAUGCAGGCGGCCUGUUAAGUCAGAUGUGAAAGCCCGGGGCUUAACCUCGGAAUUGCAUUUGAAACUGGCAGGCUAGAGUCUUGUAGAGGGGGGUAGGAAUUUCAGGUGUAGCGGUGAAAUGCGUAGAGAUCUGAAGGAAUACCAGUGGCGAAGGCGGCCCCCUGGACAAAGACUGACGCUCAGAUGCGAAAGCGUGGGGAGCAAACAGGAUUAGAUACCCUGGUAG